rnacentral:rRNA from 1 species
UACGUAGGAGGCAAGCGUUGUCCGGAUUUACUGGGCGUAAAGAGCGCGCAGGCGGUCAGAUAAGUCGAAUGUGAAAGCCCCCGGCUCAACUGGGGAGGGUCAUUCGAUACUGUUCGACUCGAAGGCAGGAGAGGGAAGUGGAAUUCCCGGUGUAGUGGUGAAAUGCGUAGAUAUCGGGAGGAACACCAGUGGCGAAGGCGACUUCCUGGCCUGUUCUUGACGCUGAGGCGCGAAAGCUAGGGGAGCAAACGGG